AAAAAGGAACUUGUUGAAUUCUUUGUCUUUUUUUGGCAGUGCUAGAGAUGGAACCCAGGAGCUUGCUAGGCAAGUGCUCAACCACUGAGCUCCUCUAGCCCAGUUAUUUCUUCUUUAAUCUAAACUCUUGAACCGUAAUCAGUGCAUUUUAAACUUUCCUUUCAGAUACCAGAUGAUCAUCAGCCAGCCAGUUAGUCUGGACUGACACACCACACCCUAGGAUGAAGGCUUUUGGGAGAGAAUCCUGGAUCUGACGCUGUCCAGUGACUUCCUCGUUGCCAAUUCCUGCCUCUGAAAAUGAAGAUGGGAGCCACAACACACCUACCAACAGCUAUAGGGCCCACAAGCCAACAGGCGAGAAGUGCUUGACAUGCAGUGAGCACACAGUCCACUUAGUUCUUUUCUUUUUUUUAAACCAUUUUUUUUAGUUGUCGAUGAACCUUUGUUUGUUUUUA